rnacentral:rRNA from 1 species
GACGAACGCUGGCGGCGUGCUUAACACAUGCAAGUCGAACGGAAAGGCCCUGCUUUUGUGGGGUUCUCGAGUGGCGAACGGGUGAGUAACACGUGAGUAACCUGCCCUUGACUUUGGGAUAACUUCAGGAAACUGGGGCUAAUACCGGAUAGGAGCUCCUGCUGCAUGGUGGUGGUUGGAAAGUUUCGGCGGUUGGGGAUGGACUCGCGGCUUAUCAGCUUGUUGGUGGGGUAGUUGCUUACCAAGGCUUUGACGGGUAGCCGGCCUGAGAGGGUGACCGGCCACAUUGGGACUGAGAUACGGCCCAGACUCCUACGGGAGGCAGCAGUGGGGAAUAUUGCACAAUGGGCGGAAGCCUGAUGCAGCAACGCCGCGUGCGGGAUGACGGCCUUCGGGUUGUAAACCGCUUUCGCCUGUGACGAAGCGUGAGUGACGGUAAUGGGUAAAGAAGCACCGGCUAACUACGUG